CGUCUAUAUACGUAUAGCAUAUCAAUAAGCGGAGGAAAAGAAACUAACAAGGAUUCCCCUAGUAACGGCGAGUGAAGCGGGAAGAGCUCAAAUUUGAAAUCUUAAAGGGUUUCCCUUUACAAAUUGUAGUUUAAAGAAGUGUUUUCUGUUGGAGUUUCGGUAAAAGUUCUUUGGAAUAGGACAUCAUAGAGGGUGAGAAUCCCGUAUUUGACCGUUACUUUCCAGCUGUGUGAUACACUUUCAAAGAGUCGGAUUGUUUGGGAAUGCAGUCCAAAAUGGGUGGUAAAUUUCAUCUAAAGCUAAAUAUUGGCGAGAGACCGAUAGCGAACAAGUACCGUGAGGGAAAGAUGAAAAGAACUUUGAAAAGAGAGUUAAACAGUACGUGAAAUUGUCAAAAGGGAAGCGUUUGACACCAGUGUUGUUUAGUUGAAAAUCAAUUCAAUAAUUUUUUGAUUUUAAGUAGUAUUGACUUCAUCAGCUUGCUGCUUUCUUCUCAGAAAUUAUUGAAUGCACCUUUCAGUUAACAAGUCAACAUCAAUUUCUUUUGUUGUAAAAGGGUAAUUAGGAAGGUGGCUUUCCUUUUCGGCGCAAAGUGUUUAUAGCCUUUUAGACUUCUGCAAUCGGAGAGAUUGAGGUCUGCAGCGUAGAUCCUUCGGGGUUAGAUGACAUUUGGUGCUAAGCUAUAGCCUUUCAUAGACAACUUGUUGACUAUGAUCAGUCAUGUAGCUUACUCGCUGAUGCUAUUUUACCUACGCUUAGGAUGUUGACACACGCGCGUGCUCG
rnacentral:rRNA from 1 species